rnacentral:rRNA from 1 species
AUUGAACGCUGGCGGCAUGCUUUACACAUGCCAGUCGAACGGCAGCGCGGGCUUCGGCCUGGCGGCGAGUGGCGAACGGGUGAGUAAUGCAUCGGAACGUGCCCAGUAGUGGGGGAUAGCCCGGCGAAAGCCGGAUUAAUACCGCAUACGACCUGAGGGUGAAAGCGGGGGACCGAAAGGCCUCGCGCUAUUGGAGCGGCCGAUGUCGGAUUAGCUAGUUGGUGGGGUAAAGGCUUACCAAGGGGACGAUCCGUAGCUGGUCUGAGAGGACGACCAGCCACAAUGGGGCUGGGACACGGCCCAGACUCCUGCGGGAGGGCGCAGUGGGGAAUUUUGGACAAUGGGGGCAACCCUGAUCCAGCCAGGCCGCGUGCGGGAAGAAGGCCUUCGGGUUGUAAACCGCUUUUGUUCGGGAAGAAAUCCUCUGGGCUAAUACCCCGGGGGGAUGACGGUACCGGAAGAAUAAGCACCGGCUAACUACGUG